GCUUUUGUAGUUUGUGGAGGGGAGAAGGAAGAAUGUAUUUGUGUACUUUACUAACUACGGCAAAAGCAGUAGAGAACAGUAGAUAUUUUUUAAAAACCCACAUAAUAGGAAAAGAAGUCACCACCCUUCAAGCUUUGGUCAUAUUUAUAACGCACCAUAGUGUUCAAAUUCUGUGUGGUGUGUGCGUGUGUUUGUUGGGAGGGAGUGAUCUAACACAGGAACCAAACGUGGAUCACAGGUGAAGCACUUCCCUACCACAAGCAUGGGCUAGAAUUUGACCCCCUCCCCCAGCAUGGUAGUAUAUGUCUUUAAUAUGUGAAUUCUGGAGGCAGAUGUAGGUGGAUCUCUGAAUUGGUAGCCAAACUGGUCUACAUAAGGAGUUCUAGGCUAUCAAGAUUCAAAUAAAAGUAGAAAAUAGAAAUAAGAAUAGAAAAAUUAAAAUAGAAAAAAAAGGGGGGGGGGCAUCGACAAUUCUAGGGAGAGUCUAACCGAGAGAAACCACAACAUCUGGCCUGUAAAUGACAGGAAGGUAAAGCACUCUGGAGCCAUCCCCAGAUGUUGGAAUAUCCACACAUCACAUUGUUGGAUACUAGCUCAGCAUUUCAGGUCUUGUCUAAGGCUAAUUAAUAAAGCAGUCACCCAGCCCGGGUUCUCUGAGUGUUUUGAUAUAGUCAGGCCAUAUGCAGAAACCCACAGAAAGCUCACACCCCCUGGAGGAGCCUGCUGCUGCUAGUGCACUAAACUGGCAAAACAAACAAACAAACAAACAAACAAACAAACAAAACCCCACUCAGGACAGCUCAGCUGUGCUGCGAGAGACCACUCGUCACCACCAGCCGUCCCGUAGGACGUCCCGCCCCCACCUUAUGCAGGAGCAGCUGACUGGAGGAUCCCGAGAGGGGCACGCGGCGCAGCCAAUCGGAAGGGCGUGCCUUGCCCUGCCUCGCGGUUGACCUUGAGUCAUGUAGCCGGCUACUGUCGCGGUGCCGGCGCGUCUGCAGCGGAGCUAGAUGCAGGCGGUACCUGGGACAUGUCCUCGCUCGGGGACCAGCGUCCCGCGGCAGGGGAGCAGCCGGGAGCUAGACUGCACGUGCGGGCGACAGGAGGCGCGCUGCUACUUUGCCUGCUGGCGGUGCUGCUAGGCUGGGUUUGGCUGCGGCGGCAACGCGCCUGCGGCAUCCCUCCGGGGCCCAAGCCUCGGCCACUCGUGGGUAACUUCGGGCACUUGCUGGUGCCGCGCUUUCUACGACCGCAGUUCUGGCUGGGCUCGGGCAGCCAGACGGACACGGUGGGCCAGCAUGUGUACCUGGCCAGGAUGGCCCGUGUCUAUGGCAACAUCUUCAGCUUCUUCAUCGGCCACCGUCUGGUGGUGGUCCUCAGCGACUUCCACAGCGUGCGCGAGGCGCUAGUGCAGCAGGCUGAAGUGUUCAGUGACCGCCCGCGGAUGCCGCUCAUCUCCAUCAUGACCAAGGAGAAGGGAAUCGUGUUUGCACACUAUGGUCCAAUUUGGAAACAGCAGAGGAGAUUCUCCCACUCGACGCUUCGUCAUUUCGGUCUGGGCAAGCUCAGCCUGGAGCCCAGGAUCAUCGAGGAGUUUGCAUACGUGAAAGAAGCCAUGCAGAAGCACGGGGAGGCCCCCUUCAGCCCCUUCCCAAUCAUCAGCAAUGCCGUCUCCAACAUCAUCUGCUCCCUGUGCUUCGGCCAGCGCUUCGAUUACACCAACAAGGAGUUUAAAAAGGUGUUGGAUUUCAUGUCCCGGGGGUUGGAAAUCUGCCUGCACAGCCAGCUCUUCCUGAUCAACAUAUGCCCCUGGUUUUACUACCUCCCCUUUGGUCCAUUUAAGGAGCUAAGGCAAAUCGAAAGGGACAUAUCCUGCUUCCUGAAAAACAUCAUCCGAGAGCAUCAAGAGUCUCUGGAUGCCAGCAACCCUCAGGACUUCAUAGACAUGUACCUUCUGCACAUGGAGGAAGAGCAGGGAGCCAGCAGGCGCAGCAGCUUCGACGAGGACUACCUGUUCUACAUCAUUGGGGACCUCUUCAUCGCCGGCACUGACACCACGACCAACUCUCUGCUCUGGUGCCUGCUGUACAUGUCACUGAACCCCGACGUGCAAAGUAAUUGGUGCAUUUGUUCUUAACUCAGGGUAAAGGCAGGUUCUUUGAACCCAGUCACGGACUCUGUGAUCUGCUGGCCCCGGAGCACCCAUGUGUCCAGAAAAGGUUCAUGAAGAAAUUGAAAGGGUCAUUGGCUGUGACCGUGCACCUUCCCUCACGGACAAGGCCCAGAUGCCAUACACAGAGGCCACCAUCAUGGAGGUGCAGCGGCUGUCCAUGGUGGUGCCGCUCGCCAUUCCUCACAUGACCUCGGAGAAAACAGUCCUCCAAGGGUUCACCAUUCCCAAAGGCACAGUGGUCCUAAUCAACCUGUGGUCAGUACACAGAGACCCAGCCAUCUGGGAGAAGCCAGACGACUUCUGUCCUCAUCGAUUUCUGGAUGACCAAGGACAACUUUUGAAAAGAGAAACUUUUAUUCCUUUUGGGAUAGGGAAGCGGGUGUGUAUGGGAGAGCAGCUGGCCAAGAUGGAGUUAUUCCUGAUGUUCGUGAGCCUGAUGCAGACUUUCACCUUUGCGUUACCUGAGGGUUCCGAGAAGCCUGUCAUGACUGGGAGAUUUGGUCUAACACUGGCCCCGCACCCUUUUAAUGUAACCAUCUCAAAGAGAUGAAGAAGCCCCGAGAAGAGAGGCGCGGGCAGACUCCAUGUACUGGUCGGUCCUAGACAGCCUUCCUAUUGCUGCUGAGCAUGGGCCUCGCAGUUCGGCACAGCCAGGAGAGGCUGAGUGGUGCCCACUGGCCACGGGGAAGCAUGGACACUCGGUUUAGUUGUGUGGAUUCCAUCAGAAAGCAGUGCUUCUCAUCUCUCAGCCUCCGUCAUCCCAUGGUAAAAUGAGGUAAUGAAACGUCUCUCAACUCUGAGAGGAACUGGAUGCUUCAUGAAGUCUGUGCUGGUGGCAGAUGCUGGGCAAAUCAGUAGAUCUGCCUUCGGACCUCCCAAGGCCCCUCCCUGCAACAUCUAGUGUCAGCACGGACACUCGGUCAGAGAGGGAUGUAGGUCUAGGUUAUAUUGAAGUAGACCUUUUUUUUCCCCCAUACUUUUUUUUUCUUUUGUAUUUUUUUUUUCUGGCAUAGAUUCAAUGUCAGUUUCUUUGGGUUUGUCUUA